CUGCAGCAGCGCAUUUCCAUUUACUUCGGAAACACAUAGGACAAAAUGAAAGUUACACUGGUCUGUGUGUGUACUGCCAUCAUAGCUAUACAGUGUGUGCAAUGUGAUUUCAACAGUAAUGAAAAUCCACUGUAUUCAAAUCCUCUGAUUAAAGACAUUCUUGGGAAUGAUGAUGACAGACGGGCAGAUCCCCAGAACCCUUGGUUUGGGAGGUGGAAAGGUAGAAG